rnacentral:rRNA from 1 species
UACGUAGGGUGCAAGCGUUGUCCGGAAUUAUUGGGCGUAAAGAGCUCGUAGGCGGUCUGUCGCGUCGGCUGUGAAAACUCGGGGCUCAACCCCGAGCCUGCAGUCGAUACGGGCAGACUAGAGUUCGGUAGGGGAGACUGGAAUUCCUGGUGUAGCGGUGAAAUGCGCAGAUAUCAGGAGGAACACCGGUGGCGAAGGCGGUUCUCUGGGCAUGUCCUGACGCUGAGGAGCGAAAGUGUGGGGAGCGAACAGG